rnacentral:sRNA from 1 species
ACAAACAAAGAAACACUACUUAGGCUUUUUAGAUCCGGUAGCGGUGCUAGUUCUUAUACUCAAUCAUACACAUGCAAUCUAGUCAUAUUUGAUUCCAAAACACUAACCAAGCUUCUUCUUGCUUCUCGAAGCUUUGAUGGUGUAGCUGAACUUCGUAUGAGUCUUUGAAUUUGUAUCUUCUAACAAAGAAACACUAAUUAGGCUUUUAAGAUCAUGUUGCGGUUCUAGUUCUUAUACUCAAUCAUACACACGAUAUCUAGUCAUAUUUAACUCCAAAACACUAAAGAGGCUUCUUCUUGGUUCUCAAAGCUUUGCUCGUGUUGCCAUAGUUCUUAUUUGUCUUUUGCUUUGUAUCUUCUAACAUGGAAACACUACAGAGGCUUUUAAGAUCCGGUUUCAGUUCUGGUUCUUAUACUUAAUCAUACACAUGACAUCUAGUCAUAUUUGACUCCAAAACACUAUCAACCUUCUUCUUGCUUCUCCCAGCUUUGAUGGUGUAGCCGUAAUCUGUAUGAAUCUUUGGCUUUGUAUCUUCUAACAAGGAAACACUAGGCUUUUAAAUCAGGUUACAGUUCUAAGUCUUAUACUCAAUCAUACACAUGACAUCUAGUCAUAUUUGACUCGAAAACACUAACCAAGGUUCUCCCUGCUUCUCAAAGCUUUGAUGGUGUAGCCAAAGUCCGUAUAAGUCUUUUACUUUGCAUCUUCUAACAAGGAAACACUACUUAGGCUUUUACGAUUCAGUUGCGGUUCUAGUUCUUAUACUCAAUCAUACACAUGACAUUU